ACAUUUUUCAUUAUUACAUUUUAAUAAAUUAAUAUUUUUAAAGGUGUCACAGUAAAUAAGGAUAAAGCUAGACCAUGAUAUUAAAAUAAACUAUUAAAAUGAAUGCUAGAUACUUCAGUCAUACAGUUAAGAAACUGCCUCAAAAGCCACAUAGCUGUAAAGCAUUAAGCAAGAGGGUGUAGGUAUACCCUAGAAAACUGAAAGAAGUGUUUGUAGCCAGAACCCACAGACCUCUUUUGCCUUUUAGCAACAGCAUAAAACGCACAUUUCUGAAUUCAUGGUUCUAUGACUACUAAAUAAUGACUGGAUUUGAAAAGUGUGGAAUAUCUGGCAACUCCUGUUGGUUUGCAACACAUGCAAAAAGUUCCUAAAAUCACAGGACUCUCUGGAUAUAAAUUCAAACUGCAAAUGCUCCAUUGCCUUUGCAACUGGUAGAACAACUUCAGCUUUGUUCAUUGUACAAAGUAAAUAGUUUUCUUGUUUUCACAGCAGCCAGUCAAUUGUAUUCCCCAUUAAAUCUCUGAUUGUGAGCCUCAUUCGUGUGGUUUCAGGAAUGAAGCUCCCUAUAUAUAAACCAGUUGUGGAACUGAGCACUAAAAUGUUAAGAAAAGGCAUUUGUUCCCUUACUUGCCCUUUUUUAAAAUCAUUUUUUAUUUUUUUUUUUUAAUGAAUGGUAAGCUGAGAAUCUUUAUCUAGGCUUCUUUAUUUGGAGGUGAGGAAGAUCCACAACAUGGGCUACUAUAUUGCCAGAUUCUUUAAAAAAAGAAUAAAACCCCUUCCUGGUAUUAUCCAGCAGGGAGCUAAGAAUUAGGGACUUGUAUUACAAGCAUUUGGUUUUGGUUUGGGGUUUUUUUUAUACUAUGUAUGCAGUAUUCAUGAAGUGAAGAAAGAGAAAACAUUUGCUCUUCCUAUUUUUGUUCUGGGGUUUGAAUUACGGGGUUUUUUAGGCUUGAAGUGACCCUACAGUCAAUCCUUUGUUACAUCAGACAGGGGGUGCUAGGAGUCCCUGGAGAGCUGAAAAAGUUGGUGCACUGCAAAGCUUAGUGCAAAGGGAAAUGUGGCAUAAUAAGUUAGCACUUAGUAGUCAGCAUUAGCUGUUACCAGUCCUCUGACAGUUCAUGCAGGACCCUCUGAGGGUUUAGAUACAGUCAGAUUGUAUAAUUCCUGUUAUGUGAUAAAGCAAACAUCACUUCUGAAACUACGGUGGAUUUCUCUUUUCAAACAAAAUUAAUAGACAUGAUGUUUCCACAAAUGGUUUUGAGCUGACUAUAUGAAAAUAGCCAAAGUUGGGUUUGUAUAUUACUAUUUAUAUAUAUGUAUUUUAAAUAUAGGAUAAGGCUUUCCACCCUGUUGUUCCUAAUGGAAUUAGGCAGAGCUGAGCCCACGUAAUAUGUUACAAACUAUUCCUGACAUUUAUUUCAAAUUCCACAGCUGAGACAUCACUGCAUAUUCGCAUCUGUAGUAUUCAAUUACUAAUUGAUCCACAUCGUGGAGAAUGAAAUGAUACGAAAUUAAAUGCUUCUUGUUUCUUGUA
ensembl:lncRNA